GCGAGAGUUGAGUUACCUGCAUUGUGUAGUUGAUUCAAUAUUUCAAUUUACCUAAAAAAAAAAAGAGCAUGUGGCUGUAAUAAUGAGCUCAGUUUUUAGAAUGAGAAGAUUCUGCAUUUCUUUGUUUUAAUUUAACCUAUGAUUUUACUCUCUUAAGUUUAUUCUUCUUUGUGUAAUUAACAUGCAUUGUCGUAACUACUGGCCAUGUCUUACUGGGUACUGUGACUUUUACAGUUACUUGUAAGAAAUAAGUAGCCCAUGUACUUAGAAUAAGAAGGUUGUCCUUUCGAAGUUUAUGUAAUCCCAUUUUGUCUGAUUUUGAGACAUUAUGAAUGGGAAGCUGAUAUAUUGGUUUUGAAUGCCACCAGUCGGAGGCAAAAAAGCGGAAAG
rnacentral:misc_RNA from 1 species